rnacentral:rRNA from 1 species
AUGCAAGUCGAGCGGUAGAGAGAAGCUUGCUUCUCUUGAGAGCGGCGGACGGGUGAGUAAUGCCUAGGAAUCUGCCUGGUAGUGGGGGAUAACGUUCGGAAACGGACGCUAAUACCGCAUACGUCCUACGGGAGAAAGCAGGGGACCUUCGGGCCUUGCGCUAUCAGAUGAGCCUAGGUCGGAUUAGCUAGUUGGUGAGGUAAUGGCUCACCAAGGCGACGAUCCGUAACUGGUCUGAGAGGAUGAUCAGUCACACUGGAACUGAGACACGGUCCAGACUCCUACGGGAGGCAGCAGUGGGGAAUAUUGGACAAUGGGCGAAAGCCUGAUCCAGCCAUGCCGCGUGUGUGAAGAAGGUCUUCGGAUUGUAAAGCACUUUAAGUUGGGAGGAAGGGCAGUAAAUUAAUACUUUGCUGUUUUGACGUUACCGACAGAAUAAGCACCGGCUAACUCUGUGCCAGCAGCCGCGGUAAUACAGAGGGUGCAAGCGUUAAUCGGAAUUACUGGGCGUAAAGCGCGCGUAGGUGGUUUGUUAAGUUGGAUGUGAAAUCCCCGGGCUCAACCUGGGAACUGCAUUCAAAACUGACUGACUAGAGUAUGGUAGAGGGUGGUGGAAUUUCCUGUGUAGCGGUGAAAUGCGUAGAUAUAGGAAGGAACACCAGUGGCGAAGGCGACCACCUGGACUAAUACUGACACUGAGGUGCGAAAGCGUGGGGAGCAAACAGGAUUAGAUACCCUGGUAGUCCACGCCGUAAACGAUGUCAACUAGCCGUUGGAAGCCUUGAGCUUUUAGUGGCGCAGCUAACGCAUUAAGUUGACCGCCUGGGGAGUACGGCCGCAAGGUUAAAACUCAAAUGAAUUGACGGGGGCCCGCACAAGCGGUGGAAGCAUGUGGUUUAAUUCGAAGCAACGCGAAGAACCUUACCAGGCCUUGACAUCCAAUGAACUUUCUAGAGAUAGAUGUGCCUUCGGGAACAUUGAGACAGGUGCUGCAUGCUGUCGUCAGCUCGUGUCGUGAGAU